UCCCACAGUCCCAGGUGUGAACACAGGGGCCCACCCUAGGUCUGCACCAUAGUCUACAAACCUCUUUGAGAACACUGUAUUGUGUCUAUCAAGCUAUAAAUGAAUUAUAUUCAGGACUUUAAGUGACAUUGUCCUGCAAACCAUAAUUAAUCCUACCUAAAUGUUUUAGCAAGUGUUUGAGAACAAAACAGCCUUUGAAACCAAAAUUAUUUUAAAUGUAAAGUCAAAGUGAGGUAAAGUGUAGAUGGUAAUUUAUUUAUUUAAAGAUGUAAAAACUAUUUCAAACAAUUUGAACCUUUAAACAGACCAGUUUUUAGCACUCAACUGAAAUCCAAUACUUUCUCCAUUCAUUGGCCUGAUCUAAUCAGACAUAGUGUAGUAGUUUCCUAUUGCUGCUGUAACAAAUUGCCACAAACUUAGUGGCCUCAAGCAACACACAUUGAUUAUCCUACCGUUCUAAGAUGGAUCAGCGAGGUCGUGCUCCUUCUGAAGGCUCCAGGAAAGAACCCAUGGACUUGUCUUUUCCAGCUUCUAGAGGCCACCUGCAUCCCACUGGCACCUGCUUCCCUUGGCACAGCUCUUUUGUCUGCCUCAGACCUUCCUACCUCCCUCUUGAAAGGAUCUUUGUGGUUACAUUAGGCUCACCUGGGUAAUCCAGGCAUCCCUCCCCAUCACAAGGUUCUUAAUCACAGCUGCCAAAUCCCCUUUUGCCAUGGAAGGUAACAUAUUCUCAGUUCCAGGGAUUAGGAUGUGGGCCUCUUUGUGGGCCACUAUUCUGUCUACCCCAGAUAGUGAUUCCUGCUUAACAGAAAUCGAAUAUGAACUCUAGGAGAUACAUAUUCUAAUUAUAUGCCUUCACAGGCUCCAGUACAUUCCCUAUAUAAUAGAAAUUGGAGACCAGUUUGAUAUUGGAUACUAAAUACACUUUGGAUUUUUUUUUUUUGAGACUUGAGUCUUGCUCUGUUGCCCAGGCUGGAGUGUAGUGACAUGAUCUCAGCUCACUGCAACCCCACCUCCCGGGUUCAAGCGAUUCUCCUGCCUCAGCCUCCUUAGUAGCUGGGAUUACAGGCACGCACCACCACGCUUAGCUAAUUUUUGUAUUUUUAGUAGAGACAGGGUUUCACCAUGUUGGCCAGGCUGAUCUCAAAUUCCUGACCUCAUGAUCCACCCACCUUGGCCUCCCAAAGUGCUGGGAUUACAGGCAUGAGCCACUGUGCCCGGCCCACUUUGGAUUUUAUACAGCAAAACUCCAUAAUGUUUUCUUUACAUCAAUUUCUGCACAUAAUAUUGGAAAAGCAUUCUAGAAAGCGCUAAAGGUAUUGUGCUACUUCUUUUCUGAAGAAAUCCUUUACUAAUUUUCUUUUCUUUAUUUUUUUGAGAUCGAGUCUCGCUCUGUCACCCAGGCUGGAGCGCAGUGGUGCGAUCUUGGCUCACUGCAGCCUCUGCCUCCCAGGUUCAAGGGAUUCUCCAGCCUCAGCCACCCAAGUAGCUAGGAUUACAGGUGUGCGACAUCAUGCCUGGCUAAUUUUUGUAUUUUUAGUAGAGACAGGGUUUUGACGUGUCGGCCAGGCUGGUCUUGAACUCCUGAGCUCACAUGAUCUGCCCACCUCGGCCUCCCAAAGUGCUGGGAUUACAGGGGAGCACCAGCACACCCGGCUAAAUUUUGUAUUUUUAGUAGAGAAGGGGUUUCGACAGGCUGGUCUGGAACUCCUGAGCUUACAUGAUCUGCCCACCUCAGCCUCCCAAAGUGCUGGGAUUACAGGCAUGAGCCACUGAGCCCAUCCCCUUUACUAAUUUUCUAUCAAGUCAUAGUUCUUACAAAGUGGGUAUUUUUGGUAUGAUUCUACUUUAUGAAUUUUUUCAAAGCACAAAGAAAGCGACUGUGUAUUAGACCACACAGCAAAUCAGAGAAUAGGCAGAGCUAGUGAGUACAGCUUCCAGUUGGAGAUUUGGGUUCAUUACCUUACCUACUUGUCAACCACAUCUCAAGAUAUGAUGACAGUUACCAGGUCUUGGAAAGAUUAACACGUGUUUGAAUGUCUGACAGUUCCACAGCUCCAGCUACAAAAGAACUGAAAAGGAACAGGGAAGGUGUGUGGCGUCUUGGAUUCCAGGAAGUAGGCAGUGUGUAUGGUUACUGGAAUUUACCUGCCAUCUUGCUCAAUUAUCCUGUCAAAGGUGCUGUUAUUUUUCUCUUUAAAACGUUUCCAUGUUUCUCAUGAGGGCUUAUACCACCCCACUUCUAGUGGCAUAUACUGCUGGACAACUGGAUUUCUUCUUAACCAAGCAACGGACAAGCAGUUUCCCCCAAUCAGCAUGUGUUGCCAAAAGGGCAAGUCAUUUCAUAAAAUGAGAAACUAAAACUUUUAAAUCUACAUAUAUUAAGUAGAUUAACAUAUUAUGUUAAUUUUUAACCUUUAGAAUAUUUAAAAAUCAAAUGAUGCUCUAGUUUACAAGUGCACCAAGGCCAAAUAAUUAAUAUUAAAAUUAAAACAGAAUUGAAAAAAUAUUUAAAUAAUGCAAAAACCAAGUGACAUCAUGUUUACUACUGGGGGCAAAAAGGCAUCCUGAACGGCCCUAGCUGCAGCCUGCCACUUAGGCUGUCUGAAAUCCCAAGCAUAUUAGGAAAGAAAAGAAACUCAUAUACAUACUCAUAGUCAACUUCCAGUGCCUUUUUGGUGGCUUCACAUUUAGCUGUGUUGCUUUUUCAGAUGUCUUCUCUGGUUCCUGUACCCAUUCCAACUCUUUGCUCUGCCUCCUUUGCUGCUAUGGUUUAAGUUCUACUUCUUUUUUGAACUUUGAUAUAUGAUCACAAAUCCUCAGCAUCCCUUGUCUUCUGCGCAUCAGUGAACAAAGCAUUAAUGUGCAGCAUAGAAUGACAUUCUUUAAUUUUUUUUUUUUUUCUUUUUUUGAGACGAAGUUUCGCUCUUGUUGCCCAGGCUGGAGUGCAGUGGUAUAAUCUCAGCUCACUGCAACCUCUGCCUCCAGGUUCAAGAGAUUCUUCUGCCUCAGCCUCCCAAGUAGCUGGGAUUAUAGGCGCCCGCCACCAUGCCCAGCUAAUUUUUAUAUUUUCAGGAGAGAGAGGGGUUUUACCAUGUUGGCCAGGCUAGGCUUGAACUCCUGACCUCAGGUGAUCCGCCACCUUGGCCUCCCAAAGCUAGGAUUACAGGCGUGAGCCAUUGUGCCUGGCCACAUUCUGUAAAUUUUGCAACCUUUUAUUUUAGUGUGUCUAAUAAUACUUGCUUCCAUGAGUUCUCAGGUUUGUUUUGAUCUCACAGAUCCACCAAAGAGAAAGCAGCCCUGUGCCAGUUGCUCUGCCAGCCUUUCACAGGAGAAGUGUCACUAGAAUACUACAGCCCCCGCAGGCUCUGCUCCACAGAAACUUAAGGCUGAAAGAGUGUCCACCAUCAGGGACAUCCUCUGUCACUACGGUGGGAAGACAACAUGGCAGGUUGCCUUUCCAAGGCAUUCUUGGGCCUUUGUAUUUCCAUAUAAAUUUAGAAGCAGUCUGACAACCUCCCCACCAAAAAACCUAAAAACCAAAAAUCUUCUAGACUUUGGAACAGCACUGAAUUAACGAUCCGUUUGGGAAACAUUAACAUUACAAGUUUUAUAAACCAUGAACAUAAUAUAUCCCUCCAAUAGCUAGAUUAUUUUAUAUACAUAGCCCACAUUUUCUAAGCAUUUAUUACAUGCCACACACCACUAAGACUUUACAUAAAUUAUUUCAUUUAAUCUUCACAAUAAUGCUGAGAAGGAGGCUCUAGUAUUUCCAUCUCACGGAUGGAGAAACUGGAGUUUAGCAAGGUGACCAAAGGCCACGGUUAACCAGAGAUGAGAAUCAGGCACUCUACCUGCAAUCUGCAGUCUUUACCACUUUUUGACAUGACCUUCCUGAGCUGACGGCUGCAGAAGCGAUGGGUCUAUGGUUGGAGUUAUUCAGGAGGAGGCAGACUUGGAGGAAAAGUCUCCCAAGAGUUCCUGCGUGUGCUAUCUUUCUACCGUUCAGCUUCUGUCUAUCUGGAUACAUAAUUAUUUGUCCAAAUAGCAACUGUCCUUCUUCUGCCAUUUCAGGCCUUACAUAGGAAGUCCUUCUAAAGAGCUGCCUGCCAGCUGCCCUUCCCCAGAUCCCGAAUAUCCUCCUGACCAGGUGGAGCAGAGAACAGUCCCUCAGCUGGUCAUGCUGAGCUCAUACCCUGAUGGCUGCUCCAUGAGGUCAAGACUGGGUCUCCUCCCUCCUCCCCCUUCACCAAUGCCUGGUCUCACGGGGCUAGUUUUGACCCCCACGCUAUGGCAUCAUCGACCUCCCUCCCAGCUCCUGGCUCUCGGCCUAAGAAGCCUCUAGGCAAGAUGGCUGACUGGUUCAGGCAGACCCUGCUGAAGAAGCCCAAGAAGAGGCCCAACUCCCCAGAAAGCGCCUCCAGUGAUGCUUCACAGCCUACCUCACAGGACAGCCCGCUACCCUCAAGCCUCAGCUCAGUCACGUCUCCCAGCCUGCCACCCACACACGCGAGUGACAGCAGCAGUAGUCGCUGGAGCAAAGACUAUGACGUCUGCGUGUGCCACAGUGAGGAAGACCUGGUGGCCGCCCAGGACCUGGUCUCCUACUUGGAAGACAGUACUGCCAGCCUGCGCUGCUUCCUGCAACUCCGGGAUGCGACCCCAGGUGGCGCUAUCAUGUCUGAGCUGUGCCAGGCACUGAGCAGUAGUCACUGCCGGGUGCUGCUCAUCACGCCAGGCUUCCUUCAGGACCCCUGGUGCAAGUACCAGAUGCUGCAGGCCCUGACCGAGGCCCCAGGGGCUGAGGGCUGCACCAUCCCCCUGCUGUCAGGCCUCAGCAGAGCUGCCUACCCACCUGAGCUCCGAUUCAUGUACUACGUUGAUGGCAGGGGCCCUGAUGGUGGCUUUCGUCAAGUCAAAGAAGCUGUCAUGCGUUGUAAGCUACUACAGGAGGGAGAAGGGGAAUGGGAUUCAGCUACAGUAUCUGAUCUACUUUGACUUUUAGGAGACAGCCCUGUAGCCUGGUAGUUCAAAGUGCAGCUUCUGGAAAAGGCUGUUGGGAUCUGCAGACACUCAGCUGACACGUGUUAUAUCAUGGGACCCUGGAAGUUGGAGUAAAGCUGGAAACAGAAAACCCAUGCAGGGCCUUGGAUUCCCACAGAUGUGACAAGAGAUAUAGGGAGUGAGUUGCAGCGCUUUGCUCGUGACCCUGGGAUCAGAGCACCCAUCAGGCUUCCAUUACUGUGGGCUCCCUAAGGAGACCAUGGAGAGGUUGGGGACUCCCCCAGGAAGGCCGUGAAGCUGGGGAUUCCCCCGAGGAAAGCCAUGAGGAAGCUGGGGACUCCCCAAGAAGGCCAUGAGGAAGCCAGAAAUUGGAGGUAGUAGGAGGUGGUACUGAUCAGUGAUGGCCAGCAGGGCUCAUCUCCUGCCUAACUGGACAGGAAGCCUGGCACCCACUUCUGUCUUCCCCUGGAACUGGGCACUGGCGUACACUGGUAUCCCUCCUAAAGAGGUGACUCACCUGACUGAUCAGCAAGAAGCCUAGAUUGCAGGCCUCACCAUGGAUGGUCUUCCCAGUUGCCUGGGGAAAUCCCGGAAUGGGAGCCAGGAGAAAGCAACAAGAAUCCAGUCCUUCACACUCACACUACUCUGUUCCUCUUCCCAGAGACAUCGAUUCACUUCAGAAAGCUGUAGGGAAGAUGCAGUCAGCACUGCACUGUAUUUUUUAUUUAUUGCCUAAGUGCCAUUAAAGACACAAACCUAGAAGCCUAGAAGCCAUCUGAAUAUGGGGGUGGGGUGGUGGACGGAACAAGUGAAGAGAUGGGAAGCCAGGGCUCAGGGUUCAACGCCUUCACCUGAGAUCACAAGCCUAUGGAUGCUGUGACAUCUGGGAGCUUCAUCAGUGGUCUGGCUAAAGCUGAUACUUUCACAGUCACCAUCAUCACCUUUGGACUGGGAAGAAUCAGCAUUUUUCUUCUGGCAGACGACUGUAUUCCUUAUAGGACAGGCAAGGUUUCAUUCAUCUGUUCUCAGUAAGUUUGUUGUUGAACUGAAAUGAAUUUCAUUAUUUCCUCCAGUGUGUACUUUUGUGCCCCCCUCUCACUUCUCCCUAUCAUGACCCCUCUUUUGCUGAAAAAAAGUUUUAUUAUUUUUUCUAUCUCUAGUUCUAGAAAGAGAAAAUUUAUUUUUUAAAUUAUAAAUUAUUUUGCCGGGCGCCAUGGCUCACACCUGUAAUCUCAGCACUUUGGGAGGCCGAGGCGGGUGGAUCACCUGAGGUCAGGAGUUCAAGACCAGCCUGGCCAAUAUGGUGAAACCCCGUCUCCACUAAAAAAAAAAAUCAGCUGGGUAUGGCGGCAGGUGCCUGUAAUCUCAACUACUCAGGAGGUUGAGGCAGGAGAAUUGCUUGAACCUGGGAGGUGGAGAUUGCAGUGAGCCGAAAUCACGCCACUGCACUCCAGCCUGGGCAACUGAGCGAGACUCUGUCUCAAAAAAAAAGUCCGGGCAUGGUGGCUCAUGCCUGUAAUCCCAGUACUUUGGGAGGCCGAGGUGGGCAGAACACAAGGUCAAGAGAUCGAGACCAUCCUGGCCAACAUGGUGAAACCCCGUCUCUACUAAAAAUACAAAAAUUAGCUGGGCGUGGUGGCGUGGGCCUGUAGUCCCAGCUACUCGGGAGGCUGAGGCAGUAGAAUUGCUUGAACCUGGGAGGGGGAGGUUGCAGUGAGCCGAUAUCACACCACCGCACUCCAGCCUGGGCGACAGAGUAAGACUCCAUCUCAAAAAAAAAGAAAAAAAAAUUAUUUUAUUAUGCACAAAAGGAUUAACAAAUAAUAUGUCCACUCAUGUGCCUGCCACCCAAUUUAAGAAGCAAAACCUUAUCAUCCCUUAUAGUGGUCCCUUUGUGCCCUGAAUUGCAGUCUCCCCUUCCCCCACCAGAAAUAACCAGUAUUUUGAAUUUUGAACUUCUUGCUUUUAGCUUUUCUCUAUACAUUUACUAUAUAUGUAUGCACCUCCACCAGCAUACUGUGUAGUUUUACAUGGUUUUGUAUUUUAUGUAAACAGCGUUACAGUGUUUGUAUUCUGCAGAUUCCUUUCCUUGUUCACCAUAUGUGAGAUUUAUCCAUGCGGAUGGAUGACAUGCCACUUAUUAAUAAUACACUUUCAUCCCACGAUGUAAAUAUGCCACCAUUUAGUUACACAUUCUUCUCCAAAUGGAUAUUUGGUGUUCCUAGGUUUUUGCUAUUAAAAACAAUGAGCCGCUGAACUUUUUUGUACAUUUUCACAAGCAAGAUUUUCUAGGAUUUAGCCUAGAAAAUCCUGCUGGGGCUGGGCGUGGUGGCUCAUGCCUGUAAUCCUGGCACUUCGGGAGGCCGAGGCGGGCGCAUCACUUGAGGUCAGGAGUUUGAGACCAGCCUGGCCAACAUGGUGAAACCCUGUCUUUACUAAAAAUACAAAAA